AAAGAUGCCCAUGCCCUAAUCCCCAGAAGCCGUGGAUAUGUUACUGUCCAUGGUGAAAGGGGCUUGGCCGAUGUGAUUGAGGAUCAGGACCAGGAGGCGGGAUUACCCAGAAAGGAACGCAGCCCUGUCAACACCUUCGCUUCAGCCCAGUGAGGCCUCUGUCAGACUUCUGACCUUCAAAUCACUUCCGAAUGAAAGCAGCAGCUACUAAAAUAUCAUGCGAGAGAACUGCAGGAAAACGAAAACCCAGUAAAGAGGACCGAGGC